CUCUCAUGUGGCUCCUCCCUGGUGGCCAGGGCUCUCCUUCCUCUGUGGAUCCUGCAGCGCUGAAUAGAAGGGAAGCUCUUCCCUCUAGGAGGCCCAGGGCACAUUCCCAGAGGGUUAUUCUGGUCAAUCUUCAUUCUCUACUUCCCCUGAAUUGCAGUCAUAGUCAUCUGGAUCUUGUGACCGGGCUGAGCUGUGUCUCACAUACAGGACAAGGCUGCUCAUGGCCCUCUCCCUGCCCAGGAAUGCUCUUCCUGGUGGAUGCCCCAUCAGCUCUUAGGGUGAGGGCAGAGCGAGGAGCAGGUCCACAGCUACCUCUCCCAGUUCAGCCCCAUCCUGGGUCCAGUAUAAUGUGUCCCAUGUGAUAAGAGCUAACCCUGAUGAAAACACAGGCAUAGGAAGGGCACAGGAGUCCACUCUUCCACCCCCUUAAUCCCUGGGGCAGAGACCAGAGAAGUCCCUGCUGCACUCCAGGGUCUGAGAAGAGACUUCGACUUGGUGGCAUCACAGGGGAAGAAGGAAGAAGGGACUACAGGAGAACCAAGGGCAUAUGGGCAUGACCUGAAGAUUCCUGGUGUUCAGGUGAAGAUGUAAGGAAGUCCACGAAGUAGAUACAGAUGAAUAAGAUUAGAUAAAUUACAGGAUCUAGGAGAAGUGGACUGCCGGGAAGGAGAGAUUGGAUUGAGAAAGACACCCUGGCAGGGCAAGUCCUCAGAAAUCCAAGAAGAUGUACUUUUGUUCCCCAAGUCCAGGAGCUUGUUGACUGGUUGGGCCUGAUCUGCUGGGGCUACUGGAGAGGAAGGCAGGGAGGAGCCACGUGUCAGCAGGAGAGAUACAGGGUUGGCAUCAUUAGCUCCUGAGUGGAAAAUGGACCAUGACAAGGAAUGAGAGCAGAAGAACUUGCAGUCAUAGUCAUCGGGAUCCUGUGACCAGGGAUCUCACCUAGGAGUCUGUUCUCCAUCACUGAAUGCCAAUCUGCGGGGGAUCCUGGCAAAUGACUUUGCAGUGUUUUGCUAAAGAGCAAAACAAGCAAAUAUGCUCAGUAUUUGAAGAUGGAAGAGUUAAAACUUCAGCUUGUUUUGACCAGAGUCUGUACUUAAGUGAGCCUGACACGUGGUAGCUUUUAGGAUCAACCAUUCCAACUAGGAUGUUUAGGAAAGAAUACUGUUCAAAAUCGCUAAUGAGUGUUUUGGGCAUGUCUGAAAGAUGAUAGAAAUUAUUCAUCUUUGAUGUGUAAUGAAAUCUAGAAUAUGAUACAUUAAAAACAGUAAACUGAAGAAAAAAGAUAAUCCUAUUUAUUAAAAUGAAACAGAUUGUAUAUAUGACUGCAAGAGUUCUGGCAUGAUACACCUGGGAUUCAACAAAUAUUUUUUGGGGCAAUCCCAUGUGGUUGGAGAACAGCAGGAUAGUUAUUUACUCUGGUGAGUCUGUCACCAGGCAGUUGUAGUACCAUGAGGUUUUACAUGCACCAUUUAAACAAUGUACUAGGUCGAGCACUGUGGCUCACGCCUGUCAUCCCAGCACUUUGGGAGGCUGAGGUGAGUGGAUCACUUGAGGU
rnacentral:lncRNA from 1 species